UCCAGGUUAAGCUAGAUUUCUGUUGCUGUUGUUGAAUGAUGUCUUAUUGUUCAGCCUUCCAAUGCAAUUGGAUGCUAGAUGUUAAAAAUAAGUCACACCAUCUUGUUUUUCAGGACUGGAUAAAUCAGCAUUCAAAAUGCCAUCAGCCAGGAAAGACCGUCUCUUCACACAGUAUGUGUUUGAUGUCACUGGUGCUGUCCAACAUGGGAGGAGUGACUUUGAGAUGAACUCUGAUACAAGUGAUGAAAGUUUAAAGUCAAGUGAUUAAAGUUUUCGUUUAGGUUUUGUAAAUAUAAUCUGA